GAAAGGCCAUUACCAGAAACUGGCUUGCAGCGGACACACCCAGACUUAAACAAUGGUUAGACAUAGCACAGGAAAUAUUUCUCAUGGAGAAAAUGACAUAUUCUCUAAGAGUGAAAGAAGACGAGUUUAACAGAAAAUGGGAAAAAGUGAUGAG